CUAUCUUCUUCUUUCUGCAGGUCGAUAUUACAAAGCCCUGCCGUACAUCCUGAUGGGGGGGUUUGCUGUUAUCGGCGCCUUCUUGUCUCUCCUGCUGCCGGAAACAUUGAAUAAACCUCUGCCAGAGAGCUUGGCACAAAUGCAGCAGAUAUGCGGGAGCAGAGGAAAGAAGGAAAAGGAAGCAGAGAAAGGAGGAAGCUCGGCUGAUCCUCAGAGCAAAGAAACAAAGAUGUAGAUGGUCCCGCCCGUCAUGAAUGAGGUUAAAUAUAAUCUACAUGUGACGUAUUUUAUGAUCCUCUUACAUAUGAAGAUGUGUAGUGUAAAGUUAUUUUGGUCUGUGGUCACAUUUUAUUCCUGUUUGUUUGUAAUGAUGUAAAAACUGUUGUUUGUAUUUGAAAGCACCCGUCAUGGAAUAAUGUAUGUGUGUGUGUUUUUAUCCUCUACUGUUGGUCCUGAUUUGUUUGCAUUUUACAGAAAACAAUAAAUUAAAGUUUGCAACAAGAAACUCAAA